GGAGGCUGGGGGCGCCCCGGGCUGGCGGGCCACCUGCGACAGGUGGCUGCUGCUUCUCGGGAAGGCCUGGGCCCCACCCCUCACCUCCUGGCCUCUGAAGCGUGGAGGGAGGGAAGGCGCCACGGGUGGGGGGACGGGGGACGGAUGUCAGUGUCUAUAUAUUUUUCAUACAGCAAAUGCCACUAAAAUGGCUGCUGUCUCUCGUUUCCUUAGAAACCCAUUAGUCUUCCUCAGCAGCUGUCAAAACUUGCUCACCUUUCCUUUUUCCCCUUUAAAAAGAGAUGGAGAGGAGGGCUAUGCUGGCGUAGGCUGGGAGCGCCCACAGAGGUCUCAGAGCGUGGAGUCUAGGGGACAGUUUCUCCUGAAGGGUGAGAAGGGCUGGGAUAGAAUGGAGAGGCCGUGUAGGUAUGGUUGGCGGUCCGGAGGGGAGGCUAGUGGGCCAGAAUGGUGACCAGUGGUGACUGAGGGGUUGACAAACCAGUCUCUGGACUUGAACCUUGGACUUGCUUGGGUUUCUAUCACUUGCUUGGUGGAAAAAAACCACACAUACUAAGAACUGGAAGUAAUGGGGCUACAGCAGAACUGAGAUUUGGAUGCCAGGGCCAAGAUUCCAUGCACUUGGGGUAACCUGAGUGGCUGACUUCAUAUGUCCUUUCCGUGGCUGGAGUGUGGAAGGAGUGGCCACUACCCCGUCUCUGAGGAGGUUCAAGGAGACUGGAGAGAAUGAAACAGCAGGUGCGUUCUGGCAUGCUUUUAUCCUACUCAAACUCCAAAGAAUCUGCGGUUCCCCUCUGCUCAGUAGCCUGGAUCUGGUUUCAGACCUGCCACGGUUCCCUCGGCAACACCUCCCUGCUCAGAGCUUGUCCCCCAGGUGACCUCCAUCCUGUUGGUUUCUACCAUGUUUAAGGUAAAUCGCAUUUAAAAUGCUAUUCUGUACAAAGAUUGUCAAAGGCAUGUAUGUUGUUGCUUUUUUUAUGAUCGAGGUAUGAAGAAGGAAAUGAGUCUCCUACAUUUAAGAUUCAUAUAUAAAGGCAUUAGAGAGUUCUUGAGACCAUUUCAAGGUCACCAAAUGCUUUCUCAAAAUGCCUUUACUCAGAGAAUGCUUAUAGGUAAGGAGCCAGAGGCUAGAGGAUAAAAGGACUGCGCAUGACCUGUCAUUUCCGGAGGCUCCGAGUUGCCAUAGUUUUUCGCUAUGAUACUAAUAAUAGUUGCCAUUUAUUGAACUUCCGCUGAGUGUCAGAUGCUGUGCAGAAUUGUCUACAUGUGUUAUCUCAUUUAAUCUUCAGAACAUUCAAUGAAGCAGAGCCAGGACAGAUGUCCAGGGUUACUCCACCAGGAGGGACAAAUAUCUUUAAAAAUGUAAUGUAAAUAGAGAAAAUUAUGUUUCUCAGUACUUUGGGGGAGAGUGUGGAUUGGAUUGGAAGAAAAGAUGCUGAUGAGCUGCUUGGAGUAGGAGUGAGAGCCCAAGGAUUCUAACAUGCUCGUGUGGGUCUAAUGUACUGCUAGGCUUUUGUAUUGCCCUGUGAGGACCCUGUCUUCCCUCUAGAUAGAAGUUAAAGAAUUGUUUAAAGAAUAGUCUUUUGAAGGAGCACCAAGAAUCAUUGACUUGCCCAGAGCACGAACAUGUCGCUGUUCAGCCCUGGAUAUAGGUUCCAGUAACUCCAAUAUACUGACUAGGACACUGAGCCUCAAGAGGGGUCAAUACCUUGCUCAUGAGACCCCAGCUACUGGAGUGGGGGACCCCGAAUCGGAUUCAGGUCUGUCUGAUUCCAAAGCCUUUGCACUUGGUGAUGGAGUCACUGGUUCUGUCUAUAGCCUAAGAGUAGAAGCCAUACCAAGUAAUAAGAACACCCUGAGGAUGUGGGUUUCCAUCUCUGGCCUCACUCAGUGGAUUAAGGAUCCGGUGUUGCUGCAAGUGUGGCGUAGGUCACAGAUGUGGCUUGCGUUCAACCCCUAGCCUGGGAACUUCCAUAUCCUGGUGCAGCUGUAAAAAGAAAAAAAAAAAAAAAA
rnacentral:lncRNA from 1 species